GAUGAACGCUGGCGGCGUGCCUAAUACAUGCAAGUCGAGCGAACAGACGAGGAGCUUGCUCCUCUGACGUUAGCGGCGGACGGGUGAGUAACACGUGGAUAACCUACCUAUAAGACUGGGAUAACUUCGGGAAACCGGAGCUAAUACCGGAUAAUAUAUUGAACCGCAUGGUUCAAUAGUGAAAGACGGUUUUGCUGUCACUUAUAGAUGGAUCCGCGCCGCAUUAGCUAGUUGGUAAGGUAACGGCUUACCAAGGCAACGAUGCGUAGCCGACCUGAGAGGGUGAUCGGCCACACUGGAACUGAGACACGGUCCAGACUCCUACGGGAGGCAGCAGUAGGGAAUCUUCCGCAAAGGGCGAAAGCCUGACGGAGCAACGCCGCGUGAGUGAUGAAGGUCUUCUGAUCGUAAAACUCUGUUAUUAGGGAAGAACAAAUGUGUAAGUAACUAUGCACGUCUUGACGGUACCUAAUCAGAAAGCCACGGCUAACUACGUG
rnacentral:rRNA from 1 species